AUACGGAGGGUGCAAGCGUUAAUCGGAAUUACUGGGCGUAAAGCGUACGUAGGCGGUUUAUUAAGUCAGAUGUGAAAGCCCCGGGCUUAACCUGGGAACUGCAUUUGAAACUAGUAGACUAGAGUAUGGUAGAGGGGGGUAGAAUUCCUAGUGUAGCGGUGAAAUGCGUAGAUAUUAGGAGGAAUACCAGUGGCGAAGGCGGCCCCCUGGACCAAUACUGACGCUGAGGUACGAAAGCGUGGGGAGCGAACAGGAUUAGAUACCCGAGUAGUCC
rnacentral:rRNA from 1 species